UACGCAGGGGGCAAGCGUUGUCCGGAUUUAUUGGGCGUAAAGAGCGUGUAGGCGGCCAAGUACGUCUGCUGUGAAAACUCGAGGCUUAACCUCGAGCUGUCGGCGGAAACUAUUUGGCUAGAGUCCGGAAGAGGAGAAUGGAAUUCCCGGUGUAGCGGUGAAAUGCGCAGAUAUCGGGAAGAACACCCGUGGCGAAGGCGGUUCUCUGGGACGGUACUGACGCUGAGACGCGAAAGCGUGGGGAGCGAACAGG
rnacentral:rRNA from 1 species